UUAAGUUGAAAGUUCUAAGCUGCAAGAUCGAAUUCUACUUAAAAACGUUAGCCAUGCCUCAUUAUCAAUCAAUCCGACUCAUAUGCUCGACCUACACAUGUUUUCAAAUCUACCAAUCCCUUUAACAUUCAUUAGUUCUGGAACGUGAAUCAAGCAAUGCAUCAUCAAUGAACUCAUUUGGCUAAGGUAAAAGGUCAAGAGACAAAGAUGGUCCCUUACAGAAUAGGCUUCAGUAACAGGGGAUCUCUCAAAAAAUGAUUAAGCUUUAGUAGAAUGCUAAAGGAAUGUCUGAGUAGUUUGCUCGCUUGGGUUAGGGUUUCUCAUUAGGGAUUUAGAUGAUUUACCAGAGUGCCCACUUGCUAUGUUAUGUGUAGGAUUCUUCAUUUUUACUUGUUCUUAAUGUUGGUUCUAGAGUAGCUAACUAGACCU
rnacentral:sRNA from 1 species